GACGAACGCUGGCGGCGUGCUUAACACAUGCAAGUCGAACGGAAAGGCCCUGCUUUUGUGGGGUGCUCGAGUGGCGAACGGGUGUGUAACACGUGAGUAACCUGUCCCUGACUUUGGGAUAACAUCAGGGAACUGGGGCUAAUACCGGAUAGGAGCUCCUGCUGCACGGGGGGGGUAGGUAAGUUUCGGCGGUUGGGGCUGGAAUAGAGGCUUAUCAGCUUGCUGGUGGGGUAGGCGCUUACCAAGGCUUUGACGGGUAGCCGGCCUGGGAGCGUGACCGGCCACAUUGGGACUGAGAUACGCCCCAGACUCCUACGGGAGGCAGCAGUGGGGAGUAUUGCACAGUGGGCGGGAGCCUGAUGCGACAACGCCGCGUGCGGGAUGACGGCCUUCGGGUUGUAAACCGCUGUCGCCUGUGACGAAGCGUGAGUGACGGUAAUGGGUAAAGAAGCACCGGCUAACUACGUG
rnacentral:rRNA from 1 species